rnacentral:rRNA from 1 species
CGCCUUGCCAGCCCGCUCAGAACUUAAGGAAUUGACGGGGCCCGCACAAGCGGUGGAGUAUGUGGUUUAAUUCGAUGCAACGCGAAGAACCUUACCUGGUCUUGACAUCCCGGAGACCCUUAGGAAACUAGGGGGUGCUUCCAUCUGGAAGAAUCUGGAGACAGGUGCUGCAUGGCUGUCGUCAGCUCGUGUCGUGAGAUGUUGGGUUAAGUCCCGCAACGAGCGCAACCCUUGCCUUUAGUUGCCAGCAGUUCGGCUGGGCACUCUAAAGGGACUGCCGGUGUUAAACCGGAGGAAGGUGGGGAUGACGUCAAGUCCUCAUGGCCUUUAUGACCAGGGCUACACACGUACUACAAUGGCCGAUACAAAGGGCAGCGACACUGCGAGGUGAAGCCAAUCCCGUAAAAUCGGUCUCAGUCCGGAUUGGAGUCUGCAACUCGACUCCAUGAAGUUGGAAUCGCUAGUAAUCGUGGAUCAGCAUGCCACGGUGAAUACGUUCCCGGGCCUU